rnacentral:lncRNA from 10 species
GGUGUCUUUACUUCAGAAAGAAUGAUAUAUUUAGCAAAUGUUACAGAUAUAGGAGGUUUUAAGUGGGACUAAAUGCAGCAAUUAAUGCUAAUGAGUCUGCUGUUAGCAUGUAAUAUUCUUGGUGUUAUAAUCAUGCAUCACUGAAUGCGAAGCCUCAGUUUGUGCAACAGAUGCCGAUCUUAAUGGCUAUAUUCUCUUCCCAUGGAUAAGCUAGCUUUAGUUAAAUGAAUCAUUAAGAAUAACCAUUUAAAAUGUUAAUGAAAACAGUGAUUAUAACCACCAAGAUUUUUUUUUUAACUUCUGGCUCUAUUACUUUUUAUUUUCGAAAGGACUUUGGGAAGGUAAGAAACUUAUUGCCUGUGUAUGUUGUUUUAAACAGAGAAGGCCGAUACAGUUUCUGUUCACAGCAGCCCUGAGGCCGCAUGCCUGUAUUAUUAACACCAACCGUACUUGGAGACUAACUCUCUUUUGUUCUCAUUUGUCAUUUCUUUUAAAUAUUCAUUUAGGGUAUAAGACAGAAUUGGGUAAGUAGGAUCCUUGACAGUCCAACUAGUUGGUAAACAAAUAUUUUGUCUUCCUGAAAGUAUCAUUAUACUAUCGCAAAUUAAGACUGAAAAGGAAAAAAAUACCAGGAUGUUGAUAUUUAAGAAUAAAUACUUUAUCUUUUCAGAACAACAAUAAGAAGGCUGGUUUAGGCUUUAUCGCUGGAAAAUGGAGUUUGUGAAACAAAGAAGUAAUAGAUGCAUAGCAAGAGCUCAGUGUCCUUCCACAUUGUGUCACCGGUUGUACCCUGAGACAGAUUCUCCAAGUCUUAGAACAUGGAUAUGCAGUGAGAGUGAGGUUUACGUAGAAAAGUCUUUGUGUCUUGGGAGUGCCAUGUGUAUUGAAUGUCUAUGACUCAUGUCUCCCCUUGACUCACUUCUUGGCUGGGCUACAUGACUCAUCAGGCCUGGUAGGUUCAGGGCAGUGUAGCUGGUGGGGAAGGGCUAAGUGAAGAGGGGCUGUCUAGACCUGGGGAGCAUGGUUAUAAUGAGCUUUUUCAAACGUACAACUCAACUCUCUUGCACCUAGGAAGUAUCUUCAUCCAGAAGGAGUUCUCAGUCCUUUUUCUGGUCCUGCAGAGCAAAAGAGGAGAGAGAAAAAGAGAAUGAGUUACAUGGGCCCACUGUAUGUUAUAGCUGACUGCUGAUGGUAUCAGAGAUUUUAACACUGCAGUCAACUGCAGACAAAGCCGCAAUCUUGUGACUUCACAGAGCCUCAUGGGCUUUUGAGUUGACCAACUUGAGAAAAAUUUCUGACUUGAUGCAUGAAAUGAAACGAAGGCAGGUGACACAUAAAGGAAAUGACAAGGUUUCAGAAUCACUGGACCAUUAGACCACAUCAGCACUGGACCCAGCUAAAGGGCAGAGAUUCAGAGAUCCCCAACUGUGACUAGUUGUGCAAGAAGCAUGCAGAAUGAUGAGAAACCUACAGCUCAGAAAAGAAACAAAUCGUCUAUAUGGAAGUCCAGUCUUGCUGUGGAAAGGCUCAGAAAAACAAGACCCUUAGCAUAUCUCAGGGAACUGAAAGGCUGUGGGGAAACCAACAGCUUGCUGCAACCACAGCCACAAGUCAGGUAAGCAUUGAGCCUGACAGCUCAGGAAAAUGACCCACUUCUUGCCAACUCAGACAAAAAGGCUUCACUUAGGCCUAGGGAAACUGUCUCUAAUAAGGCCAUCUGUUAACCGUGUCGCCUGAGUCCCUCUCAGCAAUUCCUCAUUCCCUCCCUUUCCACCUUCCACCCUGAAGCCAGACAUUAAGGCAGCAGAGACUGAGUAAAAUCAAGCUGUUGGGCUCAGUAAACAUUACUGAGCUCCAUGAGGGAACACGGUCCCAUUUUUUAGGUUCCCAUGUCCAAGGCACAUUUUGAUCACAUUCAUUUAGCAGAGAGGUGAAGGAAGAAAGCAUGCUGGCUGUGCAGCAGCAUCGUGCUGCAUCCCCUUGCUUAGGCAAAGUCAUAACAGACAGCAAAAAAUAAGAACUUGGCUACAGUUCCCAAGGGUUUGAACCUGAAUACACAGAACACGAGAAACCACACAACUCAGGAAGAAAGCACUGGGCAAGUGUUCAGAGGCCUUAUUGACAAUGGGCCCGCUCUCCUAUUGACUUGAUUUGUAACACAUAAAGUCACUUAAAUCAGGGGUCCCCAGCCCCAUACUGGUCUGUGCCCUGUUAGGAACCCAGCUGCACAGCAGGAGGUAAGGGGCAGGCCUGAGCUCCACCUCCUGUCAGAUCAGCAGCAGCAUUAGAUCCUCAUAGGAGCGUGAACCCUUUUGUGAACUGCGCAUAUGAAGGAUCUAGGUUGCAUGCUUCUUAUGAGAAUCUAACUAAUACCUGAUGAUCUGAGACUCUAACUAAUACUUGAUGAUCUGAAGUUUCAUCCCAAAACCACUCCCCCUACCCCAGUUUGUGGAAAAAUCGCCUUCUAUGAAACCAGCCCCUGGUGCCAAAAAGUUUGGGGAUGGCUGACUUAAACUUCUAGCAAUGAUCUGUCAAGUCUCUUCAUCUCAUCACAUAAGUCGGCAUGUAAUAUUCACAAAAGACCAAUCCAACCUCUGAAAACGAAAUGCUCAUUUUGGGGAAGUGACUUAACUCUUCCAGCUCAUCUCUGUCCCUCUUAAUAAAAAAGGAAAAAUAAAAAUAAAUAUAAUAAAUAUUAUUUUUAAUACGUGGUUAUUCAGUCUCAGAAUAUUAUUGUACCUUAAAAUGAAAAAAGCUAAUAUAUUGAGUAUCUUUUUCACAUACUUUGGGAAUUAAAAUAACAUCUUUAAUAUUUGGAAAUGAAAGGGAAGAAAGAAAAUUUGAUAUCAACUAUAACCAGGAUCAUUUUAGUGUAAAUAUGUCAAUGGAAAUGAAAAUCCAAAAAUAGAAAUAUGCAAUAAAAAG